rnacentral:rRNA from 1 species
UACGAAGGGGGCUAGCGUUGUUCGGAAUUACUGGGCGUAAAGCGCACGUAGGCGGACUACUAAGUCAGGGGUGAAAUCCCGGGGCUCAACCCCCGGAACUGCCUUUGAUACUGAUAGUCUCGAGUCCGGAAGAGGUGAGUGGAAUUCCGAGUGUAGAGGUGAAAUUCGUAGAUAUUCGGAGGAACACCAGUGGCGAAGGCGGCUCACUGGUCCGGUACUGACGCUGAGGUGCGAAAGCGUGGGGAGCAAACAGG